GCCUUAGUAGUAUAAAUAUUACCUUGGUCUUGUAAACCAAAAAUGAAGUUCAAAUCUCCCUAAGGCA
rnacentral:tRNA from 1 species